GACCGCCAGGGCUCUGCUGGCACAGGUUAGUGUAGCAUCACAUCAUACAGAAGUAAAUGCCCAGUGCGUAAGGACAAGGCCUUAAUAACACCAGUGUUGUUCUGUCGCUCAGUACCUGGCAUUCUGAAACAUCUGUCACCAAAGCGCCGCUUCAAACCCUGGCUAUUCACAGACCGCUAUCCCAAGAUUCAAUGCAGCUGAGGAUGAGGAUGCACAGGACAAUCAUACAAAUCUCCUCAAGCUCUUCCUCUUGUUGGCCAAAAUAUGAAGUUAAAAGGUUUUCUGGAUGGAUCUGGAGCAGUGAUUAAGGAUGAGAAGCUGCUGUCGUGGCCCCCAGGCUAGGAGGGACUCUUCCUGGGGGACCCUGGGGCCCAUGGGCCAGCCUACAGCAGGGAUGUACCCCUGCAGAGAGACACAAUUUGUUUAAAACUGUAAAGCGCUGUAUGAUUCUUCUUGGAAUUUUGCCUUGUUUUUUUUUUUUUUUUGCUGCUUUUUUUCAUUUAACAGAAAUAACUGGUACAUUUAUCAACACAACAAAAAUAUGUUAAAUUUAAAAUUACAUGAACAUUACAUUGCAAUCAUAUUUUUUUGUAGUUUUUUUUUUUGAACAUUUGAAGAACCUCAUGGUCCUGACUUGUAACUCAGUCAGUCAGUCAGUCAGUCGAUCAGUCACUGACAUUUAACAGGCUGAAGAUUCUCCACAAGGGGGAGCUAUUAGCCCAGAUGCUACCUUGUAUCAAUGACACUUUGUGUCCUGGUGAUGAAAUGGCUGUUUGUUGAGGUGGUUUAAGUGAAACGCAGAAAAGUACAGAAGUAAAUGUAAAAAAUAAAAGUGCUGACAGUCUGUGGUCAUGGUGGUUAUUUCUAUAGGGAACCCUGAAAAGAGUUAAAGCAGCGCAGGUUUGAAUAGUACCUCCCAGCUCAUAUACUAAUGGCCACACUUUUCACUAAAAUGCUGCAGUACUGUUAAGUGCCACUAGAUGGCUCUUUGAACCCACUGUGAAUCUUCGACCAAGGUUGUACAAUGCUUCACGUCACUGCUUUGCUUCCAGAUAUUUGGUCAUCUGAAAUGGUUCAAAUGAUUUACACAAUUCCCAAGGGUCCAGGAUACAUUUAAUGUCAAGAAAGAGCAAGUGAUUGCCAUGUAUUCCUAAUGAAAGCAUUUCUGAAUUUCUAACUUCAUAAUACUAAUUCUUUCCAGUGUUUUAAACAGGCCUUUGUGAAAUGGAUGGGUGUCUGUCACUGGAACAAGAGAUUCUCAGAAUUAGACAUUCCAGAUUUGAAGAGGCUGUUUUUGUACACAGCCAUUCCACCUCAGUCAUCUGUACAACACACUGAAGCAAAAGCCAUCAUCUCUAAUAUGCCCAUAUAUUUACACUCGCGACUAAUUUGUGGAUAUCUCGGCUGCACCUAAUAAAGUCAUAGAGUUAUGCUGCAUUGGACUACACUGGGUGUUGUAGGGAAAAAAGGUAGUCACAUGACCUUCCUUCAGCGCUAUUGCAUUAAUUACACUUAAUUUAAUGUGGUUUCCAUGGAGAGCACUAACUGCUCACUUACAACUGAGUCUGAUCACUAGGUCUUAAUGUACUUACAUCUGAAGCUGAUUAUAAGUCUUAAUUUGUUUACAGCUGAAGCUGAUCAGUAGGUCGUAAUGCGUGUACAACAGAAGUUGAUCAGAUCUUUGGUGAAUCUGAAGGUUCUGUUAAGUCACAUACUUUUUUGUGCUCAAAAACCUAAUGAAUGUUUAAAUGUAGACUAUGCACGAUGCUUGAAAACAUAAUAAAAAUAACCAUGCUAAGGCAUAUCUUUCAGAAAUUUCUUCAACUUUUACCUGUAUAUUUUUUAUUCUAAAAUGUGUUCCGGACGUUUCUGGGCACGGCAUUCUGUGUGGGCAGGGGUGAGCGCGGCUACAGAACCUGUGGUUUGGGAUCAGAAUCCAGCAAAGUGUUUGUUGCUACUUAGCUGCUAAAAAGCCUAGCUACAGCAAAGCAAAAACACAAGCUGUUCAAAAACUAGAGUCAACCCUAGAAUUCAUUUUCAUCGGUGGCGUCAGCUGAAGUUCGCCAAGGGAAUGAAAAGCGACGUGGAGUUGGCCUGUUUUCUGUCGCACCUCGGCUUUGACGGAAGCAACGCACAAAGACUGCAUACCAAAGGUCGUUGGAACAACUACAGAACACAGGUCAGGAUCUGAAGCUGCCAGACCCGCUCUGUGGCACAGACUGACGCCGACGUGCUUUCAGCGGGACACCUGGCAACAUGGCUCCCGCUGCAGGCUGGGGACGGCAAAUUAUAGCGACAGCUAUCAGUCCCCCCGCAUUAGCAUCUGCCCUUGUCACAAUUAUCAUAACCCUGUUUUUAUUAGCAUGCAUUGUCCGGUUGGGUUGUCUGGCAGCGGAGUCAUUGAAAUGCAAAGCCGGUCUCAUUGACUCCGAAUAAAGGCGCCCUGAAAGCUUUUUGUUCCGCCAUUGUGGUGCUCUUUUCCUGCGGAGCUGGGGAUUUAAUUGAAACUAACAGGGCUGGAGAGCGCACUCGCCCCGCGCGUUCGGCGUCGAGCCACAAUGGCGGGAGCGGGGCGGUUUGCCUUUCAGCGGCGUGCCUUCCCCUCCCCCCGCAGCCACUCCGGGACUUCAUUAACCGCCAUUGUCCGCUGCACAAUUGGGCUGAGCAAAAAAAAAAAAAAAAAAAAUGAAACACUUCUGAACAGCCACCAGUCCCGCAUCGCCGCUAUCGAUUCCCGUGUCGAUUGUGAGAAUUGCUGCAGGAGUACGGGACAGCACCUGCGAUUUCGGGAGACGGUUUUAAUUUGGAGGAUCUCAGCUCGCGCUCGACGUGGCACGCUCGACCUCCCUCUCCUCAAACCGAUGAAGCUGACGAAUGCGUGAAGCAGGGAUGAAGAUUUAGGCGACGUGCAUCCGCAUCGGUUUGGAGGUGGCAUUGUUUUUGUGAAAAUGGCAUUUUACUGUGUUUUCUAUUUUGGGCUCAAAUACAACUCUGAUGCUACUGAAUUUAUACAGGGGAUUUUACUGUGCAUAGCCCAAGGCUGCCCAGUCCUGUUCCUGGAGAUCUGCUGUCCUGUAGAUUUACACUCCAACCAUAAAAAUGCACCCUUCAUUCAACAGCUAGAGCAGGGCUGCCCAACCCUGUUCCUGGAGAUCAGCUAGAGGUCUCACUGAGCUGCUGAUGGGCAGAAUCAGGUGUGGUUGGUAUAGCCGGUGUAUACUCCACCAUGCAUCAACAUCAUGUGUAAUGAGGAAUAUCUCAGACACACCAGUGCAGUGCUGACCUCAUUUUGUUUUAAAAAAAAUAUCCAGUCCAGUGUGUGUACAGCAGUCAUGGCACUAUAAAGCAAGGCAAAGACUGUC